GAUGAACGCUGGCGGCGUGCCUAAUACAUGCAAGUCGAGCGAACUGAUUAGAAGCUUGCUUCUAUGACGUUAGCGGCGGACGGGUGAGUAACACGUGGGCAACCUGCCUGUAAGACUGGGAUAACUUCGGGAAACCGAAGCUAAUACCGGAUAGGAUCUUCUCCUUCAUGGGAGAUGAUUGAAAGAUGGUUUCGGCUAUCACUUACAGAUGGGCCCGCGGUGCAUUAGCUAGUUGGUGAGGUAACGGCUCACCAAGGCAACGAUGCAUAGCCGACCUGGGAGGGUGAUCGGCCACACUGGGACUGAGACACGGCCCAGACUCCUACGGGAGGCAGAAGUAGGGAAUCUUCCGCAAUGGGCGAAAGCCUGACGGAGCAACGCCGCGUGAGUGAUGAAGGUCUUCGGAUCGUAAAACUCUGUUAUUAGGGAAGAACAAAUGUGUAAGUAACUAUGCACGUCUUGACGGUACCUAAUCAGAAAGCCAUGGCUAACUACGUGCCAGCAGCCGCCGUAACAC
rnacentral:rRNA from 1 species